rnacentral:pre_miRNA from 1 species
AUCAUCUGGGAACCUUAUUAAAAUGCGGAUUUUGAUUCAGUAGGUCUGGGAGAUUCUGCAUUUCUAACAAGGUUCCAGAUGAUAAUAC